GUUACGUUGUUUCUUCCCGAUCCUUCCAUCGUCUUCCUUUUAUCUCUCUGCUCCAAAUCAUACACAUCUCUUUCUUCAUCGUCUCCCCUCGGUUCUCCAUUGUUAUUGUUUCGCCUCUGCUUCUUAUAGAAAAGCACCACCGUCCCUGCCUCCGCCUCAAAUAAUCUCACCAUCACUGGAAUUCUAGGCCUCCCGGUCAGGUCGGCGAGUCGACCCCUCCAAUGUUUCUGUCAUCCAAUAGCCUCCUUUCGAUGCUUCCCAAUGCUUCACUAAAACCAUCUAUCUCUCUAUAAAUUCAUCGCCAUCCCUUCUAUCAUGGAUUUCUUGGGAAAAAUGUUUUGGACAGGAUCUACUUGAUAUAACCCCCACCGCUCCACCGCAUACCUAUCAUCCCUUACAACACUCUCUGCUUCGUUUUGGUUUUGCACAGGUUGGCUGUGUCUAAUUUCAUUUCAUUCUUAUGUAGGUUUCGACAAAUUUGAAAGGGGUUUCAAGGUCGACUUGCAAAUUCCAGGUAUGUCACCUCUAAUUUUGGAUUUGAAGUACCUUAGAGUUUGAUUUUGUUGUAACUUCCCUCCAGACUUCGUCACUGUUUCUAUUGUUUUUUGGUUUCACCCAAUUUUUAAUCAUAUAAGGAAGAAGGUUAGAUGCGUAUUCUAUAUUUUGGAUCUCGUUCAAAAAUCAUCGCUAACUUUCUUUUCUUUUACUUAUCUUAUUCUACCAAUGUUGCGUCUCAGAGUAUCUACAGGAUUUUCAUCGAUCAUAUUACUUUUUUUUGCCUUCUCAGCAUUUCUGUGCACUGGAAAACGCUAAAAAGAGACGUGAAAGCUCUUAACGAAAUUAAAGCAUCUCUUGGGUGGAGUGGUGAAUGCAUGGGUUGGAGAUGAUCUAUGUGGAGAUGGUGAUUUACCAGCUUGGUCUGGUGUCACAUGCUCCACACAAGGUGAUUAUAGAGUAGUUACUCAACUAUAAGUCUUACUUCAUCAUGUAUAUGCAGUUUUAAUUGUGGGACCCUUUCCUACAACUGUAACCAAUCUACUGGAUCUUACUAGGCUGGAUCUUCACAACAAUAAGUUGAUUGGUCCAAUCCCACCACAAAUCGUGCAUUUAAAGCGACUUAAAAUACUUGGGAAAUUUAAAGAAGAUACAAGACCAAAAGGUUUUUGGAAUCAUCAACCUCAUCAAGUCUCAUUUCUACAAUUAUGGAUCAAAGGCUAAGGUUUCAAAACUUAUGUAAAAUUGGAGUUAUCACAAAGUUGACAAAUGCUUACUGCUUGGUACCAAAUGAAGGCUCUGAAAGUUUAUACAUGUUUUUUCUUGUAAUUGUUGUUGAAAUCUCUUAUUUAUAAACAAAGUUUACAAGAGUUUAGAUGUUGGUUCGCAGCAUCUUUGAGUUUGAAUUGGCUGAUGUUAUUCCUGUUGUUAAAACAUCCAUUGGGGGUACAAAAGUAGUUGGAAGACUCUGCAUUGGUGAGUACUGAAAAACAUUUGCAAUAUGCAUUAUUGAUAAGGGUUUACCUGAUUUUGGACUACGAUGUUAGAAGUAAACUCAACAAGGAGCUCUAGAAAUGCAAAAGCUUAACUGAACGACAUUCUACAACCAUCCCAAGGGCAAAGGUAAGGUGUGAUGGCGCGGCGUGCACUCGCUCCUAGGAGUUUUAUGGACACUAUGAUGUUUGAAAUGAAAGUUGUAUUUGACAUGUGUUUUGAAAACAAUUAUGGUUGGAUUUCUUAAAAUAUGGAAAUGUAUUUGACUAUUCAAAACAAAAAAUUUCUUUGAAAAAUUGGGUCGUUACAAUUAGCAUAACCUCUCAUAUAUUGUCAUGGGAAGCAUGUUAUUCAUAGAGGGGUCUUUUAUACAUGUUGGGUGAAUCAAAUGUGAAAGGAAUUACAAUAUUUUUCUUUAGUAAUAUUAGAAAAUUAUUUCCUUGGGGUCAUUCA